GGGGAAUCUUACACAAUGGGGGCAACCCUGAUGCAGCGACGCCGCGUGAGCGAUGAAGCCCUUCGGGGCGUAAAGCUCUUUCGACCGGAACGAUAAUGACGGUACCGGGAGAAGAAGCUGCGGCUAACUACGUGCCAGCAGCCGCGGUAAUACGUAGGCAGCAAGCGUUGUUCGGAGUUACUGGGCGUAAAGAGUGCGUAGGCGGUUUUCUAAGUUCGGUGUGAAAUCUCCCGGCUUAACUGGGAGGGUGCGCCGAAGACUGGGAAGCUGGAGUGUGGGAAAGGCGGGCGGAAUUCCUGGUGUAGCGGUGAAUUGCGUAGAUAUCAGGGGGAACACCGGCGGUGUAGACGGCUUUCUAGACCAUAACUGACGCUGAGGCACGAAAGCG
rnacentral:rRNA from 1 species